rnacentral:rRNA from 1 species
AUUGAACGCUGGCGGCAGGCUUAACACAUGCAAGUCGAGCGGGGGAAGGUAGCUUGCUACUGGACCUAGCGGCGGACGGGUGAGUAAUGCUUAGGAAUCUGCCUAUUAGUGGGGGACAACAGCUCGAAAGGGAUGCUAAUACCGCAUACGUCCUACGGGAGAAAGCAGGGGAUCUUCGGACCUUGCGCUAAUAGAUGAGCCUAAGUCGGAUUAGCUAGUUGGUGGGGUAACGGCCUACCAAGGCGACGAUCGGUAGCGGGUCUGAGAGGAUGAUCCGCCACACUGGGACUGAGACACGGCCCAGACUCCUACGGGAGGCAGCAGUGGGGAAUAUUGGACAAUGGGGGGAACCCUGAUCCAGCCAUGCCGCGUGUGUGAAGAAGGCCUUAUGGUUGUAAAGCACUUUAAGCGAGGAGGAGGCUACUUUAGUUAAUACCUAGAGAUAGUGGACGUUACUCGCAGAAUAAGCACCGGCUAACUCUGUGCCAGCCGCCGCCGUAA